CCUACGGGAGGCAGCAGUGGGGAAUUUUCCGCAAUGGGCGAAAGCCUGACGGAGCAACGCCGCGUGAGGGAUGAAGGCCUCUGGGCUGUAAACCUCUUUUAUCAAGGAAGAAGAUCUGACGGUACUUGAAGAAUAAGCCACGGCUAAUUCCGUGCCAGCAGCCGCGGUAAUACGGGAGUGGCAAGCGUUAUGCGGAAUUAUUGGGCGUAAAGCGUCCGCAGGCGGCCUUGAAAGUCUGUCGUUAAAGCGUGGAGCUUAACUCCAUUUAAGCGAUGGAAACUACAAGGCUAGAGUGUGGUAGGGGCAGAGGGAAUUCCCGGUGUAGCGGUGAAAUGCGUAGAUAUCGGGAAGAACACCAGUGGCGAAGGCGCUCUGCUGGGCCAUAACUGACGCUCAUGGACGAAAGCCAGGGGAGCGAAAGGGAUUAGAUACCCCUGUAGUCCUGGCCGUAAACGAUGAACACUAGGUGUCGGGGGAAUCGACCCCCUCGGUGUCGUAGCCAACGCGUUAAGUGUUCCGCCUGGGGAGUACGCACGCAAGUGUGAAACUCAAAGGAAUUGACGG
rnacentral:rRNA from 1 species